UUUAUUAUUUGAGGAGAAUUUUUAUGAUCGAAAUAUUUAGAAAGUUUUAGAAAAUUGUUUAUUUCUUGAAUAGAAUAUUGGUUUUCUUUAAUUGCAAAAAAGUUAACAUCUUGAUGUUUUAGCAGAUAUGAAAAGUAAAGAUUUUUUAAAAACAAAUUAUCGAAUUACUGUUUUUCUUUACUUUGGUUAACUAAGAAUUUAGCAAGUUUGGUCUUUCUAAAUACGAAUUUAUUUUUUG
rnacentral:lncRNA from 1 species